rnacentral:lncRNA from 1 species
UUAAUCAAUCCAGUGACUAGUCUUUGUAGUUAUUCAAUUUCUUUUGUCACAGCAAACCAGCACAUUUCACAGAAUACAUAAUAAGCAUAUCAAUUACGUUUACCAACAACAUUACACAGACAAAUAAUGCCGCGCGCGCGUGCAUGCACAUGAAUAGCAGCUUAUUCAUACAUCAUACAACUUAUUCAUAACACAAGAAGCCAUGAUAUAUACGUGCAUAUAUAUAUGUAGACAUUGUGAGACGUACACCUUCCAACACUAUAUCCUUUCGGUUUUUUAAUUGCCCCAAUCAAGAGGUUAAAAGUGUUGGUUAAAACCUGCGUUGGCGUCGAUUGUUAAAACUGGUCUUUCACCAUCCAGGGCAAACCGGCCGGUGACUUCUUGUUGGACAGGUAAUGUGGUGCCGGCUUGGUCAUUGAGGCCAAAUGUGCCAUGGUCGAAUUGGUUGAUGAGGACACCAUCUUCAUGAUCAUGAGUGAGGUCAGGCAACGCACCGUAGGGUCGUGCGUGUGCACAAGCUGCAAACAGGAGAACUAUGGCGAUAACGACCAUGGCAGGUAACAACACUACGGACGAUUUGGAACCCAUUGCAUGUAUUGGAAACAAGCACUGAUGUUGUUGCUAAUGUUAGUCACUCGGUUUGUGCCUUCAAGUGUAUCCAUCAACACCACUUAGUAUUUAUAGAUGCAUCGCUGUAGCCAUACCUAAUUUAAUUUCUAUCUCCAUGAAGGCGCAUGAUAAUAAAGAAACCAAAAUGACGAAAAUGUGCUCAUCGACAACGACAUUCAGGAUCGUGACACCAAAUAGAUAAGAUAUACUGCCGUGUUUAAAUGACAUUUUCAGCUCCCUGCAUGAAAUUGCAAGCACACGUCAAGAAAAGUGUGUGCCCAGCCUAUAUUAAUUAGAUAUACGCUAGCAAAUUGCGAGUACAUCAAGAAAAAUGCUCGCCUAAUUCAUUAUCUACGAUCUCUCUCCAUUAUAGCCAUUAUAUGUACAUAUUGUCUGCAAAAUCUAUAAGGGAUAAGGGUGUAUCUUCAAUUAAGCGUCAAUCAUCUUCCUCCUCACGUCCGCACUUGCUGCCGACCUCCUCACUUCCCAUCGUAUGAGUCCUACCCACACCCUUCCCCAGGCAGCUAGCUCCCUGUUGAGUAACUCUGAAUCUAUAAACUCAGCAGCUGUUGCUGUAUCCAAACAAAGUACUACUUUGUUGUAGGUAUACAGUGGUAAACAUUUUGGAUUCAGCUGCAGUUAUAGCGCCCAAUGAUGAGUGCAGCCAAAUCAGGGCCUCAAGGCUUAUGCACAUAUAGUUAUAUUGAUAUCAAGGCAUCAUAUCCUCUACCGGAACAAAAUAAAUUACUUUUUAAGGUUAUUUAACAAAAUAUUGGUUCAAUAUUUUUUAUUUAACUAGGUCCAAAAGACGUAAUAAAAGUUGUGUUGCUUUUUUUGGGGUUGGCAUAGUGGGGUCAAAUUUUGGUCGGAUUCUUCUAUCACGUAAGAUUUUCACAAGAAAAUCAAUGCUUAAAUAUAUAUAUUUGUCCAGGAUGUCUUCAUAUCAUCGGGUAGUCCAUAAAAAAAACUAGAUCAUUGUUCAUGAAUGGCCGGACCAUGACGCGAGGUGAAUUACACAACUUAGAACUCAAUUUUUAACUAUAUGACCUCUUUCUAUAACCUUAGCAAAAUAUACUCCCUCCAUCUUGUAAUAUAGUUCAAUAGCAUUUAAAAUUUGUCUUCAAAUAUAAAGAAUUUUAGAGGACAAAAACUAUUUUUUGCAUUAAAUACUUUCCAUUUAUCAACCAAUCACCACUAAUUAUGUUCAUGAUAACGUCUGAUUAAGAAAUAAAAUAAGGGUACAUAUGUGUCUUUUUGUUCUCUCUUAAUUUGUCUUAAAAUUUCUAGAAUGCUUGUCUUAAAAUUCCUAGAAUACAUUAUAUUACAGGAUAGAGGGAGUAUGCAAUAAAGUAAUCAUCUAAAUAUGUAACUAUGGUUUUACUAGUUGUAUUGUUAUAUCUUAACACAAAAAAGACGAACGAACUCGCCAAUACUGCUGCUAAGCCAUGGGCCAUGGCUAAAAGUACUGUUCAUUGAUUUGUUGUGAGAGAAAAACAUUGCUGAAUGACUGAUAAAUUCGAUAGAUAAGCUCAAGCGAACAUGUUUAAUCAUUCCAUAAAUGUUGGAAGUACGUAAAGAAAAUUGCAUACAUAAUUUAUUAUGUAGUACUGGAGUAGCACAUUAAGUAUUACGUGGAGAAAAAUAUAUGUUCACCACAUUUCCUACACGUGCAUUAUUGGCAAUGGUGAUGGCCAGGCCAGGGGAUGCCACACCGUAGCCACACCCUAAAAAAUGUAUAUCUCUUUUCAAAAAAAAAUGUAUAUCUGAUGGAAUAAAUAAAUUAAUUGCUUUCGGCAAGAGGUCUCAGGAUAAAGUGCACGGAUCAAUUGAAGUAAUAUCUGAAUAUGGAUGGAUCAGAGAUUUGCGAUAUAGAGAAAUGAUAUUCGAUCGUAAAAUAGCUCUUCUAGGGGUAUAUAUAUUUCACUGAAUUCUAGGGCUAGUGGCCAAUAAAGUGCACACGGAUCAAUUGAAGUAAUUCUGAAUGGGAAACGUGGGGACGCGGAGGGAGCGUGGAGGGGAGGGACUGACAAGUGGGCCCUGCCUUCCCUUGCCAUCCAUAUUAUUAGUUUUAAACUACCGUUGAAACCAGCUCAAUGCCAAAUAUAAAUAAACAGUUUUAGUUCUAGAGUUGGAUGGCCAAAACUCUAGUCUAGCUAUAGUUGAAUGGUCAAAAAUAGACUUUUUCCUUUAAAAAGCAAAUUGAACUUUGCUCUAGUGGUCAAAUAUAGAACCUGUCUACCUAGGUUCAAACUCUAGACUUAAUACAGGUGCUCAUCAGUUCAUUCGCCUCAGAUUGGUUGAGGGCGUGCAACAUUAUUUUUUUUAGUCUAUUAGGGCACUCAUAAUACACAAACUAUGAUAUAGUUUCUAUAGAUAUUAAUUACACUGCCACGUAGCCAAUUUGUUGAUGUAGCAAGUGAUUUAAUGAAGAGAGAAAAAAAAUCCAAGAAACUAAGUCUAACUAAUAAACUGGGUCUUCACGGUUAUCGAUGGAUAAACUACUUUAACCGUGUUGGGAGAGCAAACAUGGUUUCUAUCACUAGUUAUGUCCUAUGCUAUAGAAAAUUUUGUAGCGGAAAGGAUAAUUUUUUUGGUACAAUGUCAUAUGCUAUAGAAGCUACUUAUAGUUUCUUGCAUUGUUGGUGCCCUUAGAAUAGUCCUAAUGCUAGAAAACCGCAGAUAGUUUAGAAACUAUAUUCUUACCAGAUAGUUUCUAUUUUUUCCAAUCACAUGUCUCAUUUAAUUGCUUGUCACAUUAGCAAAAUGGUUAGGUGUUGGAGUACGUAAUUAAUGCACAUAAAAACUAUGAUGGUAUACAUUCAAUAUAAAUACUAUAUAGGACAGUAAUAAUAAUGUCAUUUGCCUAUGGUAAUUAGUUUAAUUUUUAGGGUUGAACUAUGAACUUUUGAACGCUCUGUGUGUCUAGUUUUUGCCCGUGAUAGAUGGAGAUUGAACCACGUAAAACUAUACGUAGGUACUUAAUUAGUUAUUGAAUUUCUUGUGUCACAGAAAAACAACGAUAUUUCACACAGUACAUAAUACAUAUAUAAGCAAAUCUCAAUUACGUUUACUGACAAUGCCACACAGACACAUGGCGGCUAAAAUGUAAUGCCGCGCGUGCAUGCAUGCACGUAAGAGCAGCUUAUUCAUACAUAAUAAGACAACUUAUUCAUAACACAAGAAGCCGUGAUAUAUAUAGCUAUAAAUCGCGUACAUGUAUAUAUGUAUACCUUGUGCGACACCUAUCAACACUACAUAAGGAGCCCUUUUGGUUUUUCAACUUCCCCUGCCUGUGCACCUGUCUUGACAUUGAUCGUAACUGUCCCUGCCUGUACACCCGUGUUGAUCUUGACCGCAACACUACCAUCCGGGGCAAACCCGGUGACUUCUUGUCGGACAGGUAAUGUGGCACCGGCUUCUUCUAGGUUGAGAUCAAGUGCGCCAUGGUGGUAUAAUUGGUCACCAUCUUCUUCAUGGGCGAGGUCAUCAGACAAGGGUCGUGCUUGUGCAGAUAAAGCUGCAAACAGGAGAACCAUGGCGAUGACGACCAUGGCAGGUAACACUACGGAUUUGGAACAGCCCAUUGCAGGUAUUGGAAGGAAGCACGCUGAUGCUGUUGCUAAUCUCAGUCACUCGGUUUGUGCCUUCAAGUGUAUCGAUCAACACCCCUUAGUAUUUAUAGACGCGUCG